CGCCUAUGAACGAAAAAAACCCAAAUUGGGAUCCCUCCAUUUCUCUCCAAACCCAAAUCUUCUCCCCCCAAUGCUUCUAAUCAGAUUAUAAAUGACCAUCGUCUGCCCUAACUUUCCUUCGCUCGCUUCUAUUUCUCUCCAAACCCAAAUCUUCUCCCCCAAAUGCUUCUAAGAUUCAUGAUUUAGGCAAGGCUGGCUGAGAAUCGCGAUUGGAUAAUCCCAAAUCACAAGCCCUAGCUUUUGCGUUCUCUCUUCUCUCCAAACCGGACGCAAGCAGAGCCAAAUCCCUAGCUUUUCUCUUGUCGCUUCUCUCCAAAUCAGGUAUGUGUACGUAGUACAGUUCCUCUGUUUAAUGAGUUCUUAUCAGUAUAUCUAGUUAUUAAUCCUGGGCUAGCUCCUCGCAUUUUGACCAAAAUGAGCUUGAGUAAGGGUGUAAAUCUAGUUAUUAAUCCUGAGAUGAAGUUAUAUAAGUUGGGUGUUUUUUUCCCAGUAAAAAGCCAAAGAAGCGUACUCGUCACUCCCAUUCGAGUCGUAGGGCUAAACGUGUACAUCCUGACAAGACGAAGGAUGAGAUAGAACACCGCAUUUAAAUAUAAAUAUUCAAGGUGAGUUAUGUGACCUUAUUUAAUUAUGUCAGCUUCAGAAGGAUUAUGCCCUAGGUUGCAGCUAUUGUGCUAUCACCUCUUUAUCCUUUUCCCUUUGCGUUUACUUGCUCAUCUGUACUGUACUUGUGUUCCAUACAUGUACAUAUACUUACGAUGCACCUCUUGAGGAAAGUAUGCAUGUUAGCUUUAGAUUUAUACGGAAAUAAUAAAUUAAAUGGUUCAGGGAUAUUCAAAUUACCUUUUGAAUAUGUGUAUAUACCUAUGAAGUAGUAACUUUAUUAUUUUUGAACGAGAGGGAAAAAAGUGGCCUAUAUUAGUCUCCCAUCCCAAUUUAAGUGAAUGAUUUUCUGGGAUUUUCCAGAAAGAGUGACUUGAUUCAACCUAAACCCUUAUCUAGUGGUUGUAAAUUAUAGUGAUCAUUACUCUCCUACUUGAACUAUGUGCCAGUCAAACCCAUCAUUAGGACCUUCUUAAGGUCCUAACUUAGAAGGGAAUGCUUGCACCCAUGACUUUGAGACUUCAAAACACAAGUAUUUAGAAGAGGAACCAAAAAUGGAAAAGAAAUUGAUUUGCAUAUCCUAAUCUAUAUCAUUAAUAACUAGCUGCUAGGACUCGGGAAAAUAGGAUUUCUAAGAUACUAUUAGGGCUUUCGUUAGAUUUUUAAAGUAGUACAGUAAACUUUGAGGCACUUUCUGUUUUCCAUCAACCAUUCAAUUGACAGAAAGAGCAUUAUAUUCAGUUGUAUAACAAACAAAACCACCUCUGAUACUACAGUUUGACUGUGUUUCUAUUUUUCAUUCUCGAGCAACAUGAGUGGAGGGAUCCGCUCAUGUAAUAUAAUUGACUACAACCUUUUAACUAAAAAAAAGUCAACAUCAAACAGACAAAUGAUGUAAAUACCACAUCUGUAACAAGUUGUAAAGGGAUUCAACAUAGACAAAAGGAUCAUAAUUGAAGUCUAGACUCGAGGAGAAAAUAACAUGAAAAAAGAAGAAGAAAGAGGAUGAAAUUUAGUAGCUCAACAAAUUUUAUAGCUACAAGGUGGUACCUUUUGUUUAAGGAUCACAAUGUCAUCUCCUCCAGUAUGCUUCAGUUGAGGAAUUGUAACAAUACCUCUCUUUAGUUGUUCCAGUUCCUCCUUUAAAGAGCGAAUAUCAUUUUGGUAUUUCUUGAUAAGUGAUUUCUCAUCAAUUAUGAGUGUGUGCAUGCUUUCUUCAACUGUUAGAGUGUGUCUUUGUAUUCAGUAUUAUGAUUAUUUUGUGACUUUUUGUCAUACAGUAACAUGGCUGCUGAACCUGGUCUUGAAUGAAGCUAUGGAGUUUAUUAGAGGUAAGAAACAAGAUGGUCUAAACUUUUUCCUCAUUGUGUAUGCAUAAUGAAUAACUGCCUCAAGUACAAAGGUUCUUAAAUUGACUGACAUCCUACAAAUUGCUUUUUAUAUUCUUGUGAAUUUUGAAAUAAUAUUUGGAAUCAGAUAGAACAUUAUGAGUGUGCAUGCUUUCUUGUUUAACUGUCACAUUUUGGUGUUCUGAAAGUUCCAACUCAGUCAACUGCGUGUUCCAUUGAUGUUUCAGAUGCACUGUGGCAGAUGAAUUUGUGAUGGAAUCCGGACAUUAUCCUGUGCGUGAAGGACAGCCUGAUUAUUCUUAUGUAGAUUUGGGGAAACUGUUAAAUCCUGCAGCUGUUUGGAUUUGUAAUUUCAAAAAACUAGUUAUAGCAGAAUUCUUAUGUAGAUUUGUAAAUUGUCAGAGUUUGUGGAAGUUCUACAAAUGUGCUGACAUUUGAGCUGGACCCUCACGUUAUAGCAGAAUUCUCUUUAACUAAACAUUUGAUGCUACGUUGUGCUUUAAGCAAUAUAAUUUCCAUUUUCAACAACCUGUGUACUAUUUUUUGAUAGUAUAUUGCACAGAAAAGAGAACCUGGUCAGUUGUUAAAAGACUUGAGUUUUUCAACAACUUGAGUUUUUUAGAAGACACGGAUUUUAAGAGAGGAGAG
rnacentral:lncRNA from 1 species